rnacentral:lncRNA from 1 species
UCAGCGCAAAACUAUAACCUCAUACACCAAGAAUUACAUGAGAGGUAUUGAAAGCUUCUUGCUGAAUGUUAUCUGGAUGCUUGCUAACUUCUAUAUUCCUUAGAGCAUAUACUCUUACUCCUCUUUUCGAGAUUUUUUAAUAAUAUACUACUUGUGGAUGAACUUAUUUCACUUUCAAAGCUAUAAUUUUUAAAACUGUAAAUAAAGUCUCAUAAGAGGCAUCGUACGUUGGUUAGGAAACUUUUCAUCUUUAGAGUUCCUUGACUUUUCAUCUUAGACGUCUAGCAAAUUUUUUUGUAUUUCAUGUGAACUCAAAUGAAUUAUCUGGUACCAUUCCUCCAUCUAUUCUAAAUAUUUUUACCUUCUACUAUCUCUGUGUUACACAAAAUCUAAUGCAUCGAUAACUUCCACCAGAUGUAGAGCUCACAAAAUCUAAGUAUUUGCUUCCAUUGUUAGUAGCUUCACUGGACCCAUUCCUAUUUCUCUGGAUAAUGCUUCUAAAAGUUGAGUGGUUGAUUUUUCCCAAAGUAAACUUACCGGGUAUUUUUCAACUACUUUUCGCAUGUUGGAAUUUUUGGUUAGGCUCUACUUCGAGGAGAACAAACUAGGAGGGUGCGGUUAUGAGGGGUUUUGAUUUCUUGAUUUCCUAACUAAUUGUGCACAUCUAAUGGUACUGAGUUUUUCCAGCCAGAUAGGCAUGGGAUAUUUUAUCUUGAAUGAUGACAAGGGUACUGAUCAACUACCUUUCAGUGUUGUUGCUCUAUUGAUUUAGAAGUCUAGCGUCCUUACUGUAAAAACUUGAAAUUGCUUUACUUCUUGGACCCUAUCCCGACCUAUUAGUAUUGCUUGUAGUAUUCAUCAAAGUGCUUAAAAAGGUGUUUCGUGUUUGGUUAUGAACUCAUGCAAGCAACAAUUCAUUUUAAGGGGUGCUAAUUGAGAUUAUUUAUUCUCUUUAUAUGGGUGUCCUUCCUAUGUUCUAAAUGAAAAUAUGUUAUCAUUUAAGUGAUAAUUGAGAUUAUUUAUUAUCUUUUUAUAGAUGUCCAAAAUGAAGGAGAUGAAGAAAGAAGUGAUAAAGACAUUGACCUUACUUGAGAAGAUUUCUGAAUUGUUGAUAGAUGCUUCAAUAUUGAUCUUUUUGAUAUUGAAAUUCUUUAAACCUAUCGACAUUCGAACUUGAUACUAUGUGUGAAAAAAGUAAUUAUUUGGAAUUAACAUUUUGCUUUCGG